UGGCUAUCAUUAAUGGUUUCAUUCAACCUCUAAGUUCGUUAGUUUAUGGUGAACUCACCGAUGAUUUGAUGAUUCCUCCAAGUGGUGGUAACAAGACUGCGGAUCAGGGGAAUGGAACAGCUAAUUACACAAUGAACCAGAACUUAACUAAAACCAACUUUAAUCCAUCCGGGAUAUCGCAGGUAUGAAUGCACCUUCCUAUAGGUACCGGUCGUGUAGAGCAUAGAGCUUUUAAUGGAGGAAAAUAACGCUCUCUGAUUGACUAAAUUUCGUUGUCCGGAUGUAAAUUCUCAUUCCCAGAUGCAAAAGCGCGAUGUUUAUAUAGGAGGAGAUUGGAGGAGCGGGAAAUUAC